AUGAAUUUACAGCAAGGGAUCCACAACGUGAAUGAGAUAAACAAGAAGUUUGAUUACAAGAACUAUCUUGACAAGAAGGACUUGGUCAUGCUGCCAGUGCUCGAGUGCGCUGAUGUAACCGAUAAGGAGGGAGGGAGGCAUUAUUGGGUCUUCAAUGUCAACUUGAGGGGCGGACGCUUCGAAGUUCUUGAUUCAAGCAGGACGCUGGAUGACAUUGAGCUGAUGACCACCGCCUCUACCAUCGCGGGGGUAGUACGCCAGCUAUGGAGUAAGCAUUACCCAAAGUUCAGCAUCGAGCACUUCCAGAUUAUUGACAUUGACAUACCGAAGUAG
rnacentral:rRNA from 1 species